rnacentral:rRNA from 1 species
GAUGAACGCUGGCGGCGUGCCUAAUACAUGCAAGUCGAGCGAACAGACGAGGAGCUUGCUCCUCUGACGUUAGCGGCGGACGGGUGAGUAACACGUGGAUAACCUACCUAUAAGACUGGGAUAACUUCGGGAAACCGGAGCUAAUACCGGAUAAUAUAUUGAACCGCAUGGUUCAAUAGUGAAAGACGGUUUUGCUGUCACUUAUAGAUUGAUCCGCGCCGCAUUAGCUAGUUGGUAAGGUAACGGCUUACCAAGGCGACGAUUCGUAGCCGACCUGAGAGGGUGAGCGGCCACACUGGAACUGAGACACGGUCCAGACUCCUACGGGAGGCAGCAGUAGGGAAUCUUCCGCAAUGGGCGAAAGCCUGACGGAGCAACGCCGCGUGAGUGAUGAAGGUCUUCGGAUCGUAAAACUCUGUUAUUAGGGAAGAAAAAAUGUGUAAGUAACUAUGCACGUCUUGACGGUACCUAAUCAGAAAGCCACGGCUAACUACGUG